GAAUCAUUACAGAGGAUAGUGAUUAAUCCAUUCGAGAUCGAUGCACGGAUCACCUCUCUUUAGGAUAAAUGAGUCUUGAGUCUACGGUGUAGAGACAUUGGGGUGAGAGUGCAGGAGGUUGUUAGAGAACAACUUGCACUGAGUGGACCAACACGAGAAACCACUUGGAUAUCUCCUCACUCGUCAGUGAUCUUUCUCGAUGCUGCAGUGGUGUGACUAAUCCUUUGACCUGCAAUGUGUUGGCUAUUCAUAGCGAGGCUAUAUAGUUUGACUGCAUAUUUUCUUGAUCCCUAGCCAUAUGGGCC
rnacentral:lncRNA from 1 species